AGGGAGCGAACAGUCCAGUGCACUGAAAGAAUUUUGAGACAGACCUUAAAACGGCCAACUCUCUGAACAGUGUCCUGAAUUACUGAACUAGGGAGCUGGAAGUUGAAAGCUUCACAUCACUGAAGGGUCAGGUCAUCUCCAAUAUGGACCAGCGCAAAUGUAGACGAUCUCUGUAUAAAAGUUGCUGGGCUAAAAACAAGCGUGUCCUACUAUGAAGUGAGCGUGAGAGGGAACUCCUCCAACUGGAAACUCUUGUCCAAAAUGUCUCAGCAAGUCGUCAGGACAGUAGAUGUGUGUCUCCAUCAGAAACUUCCUCCCAAGGUCUAUCCGUUGUUGUUGUUAAUGACAUCAGCUCGGAUUCAGAUGUGUCAUUGGACCCCAUCAAUAAUCGUAUCACUUGGGAUGGUAUCAUUGAUGAGCCAGAAGAAAUUAUAUCAUCGUCAUCUGAUGAAGAGAUGGAGGGAGUUAGAGGAUCUCGAUGAACAACUGAAGAAUAUUGAAAAACUUCGCAACUGUUUUCGUGCUUACUUGAAGACAAUGAGGGGGAGCAGCAUUGGAGAGACAGUUCGCUCCAUUCUCCGAAGAAUCGGGGAGAACAGCCUGUGAAGUAUGUUUUUGUUGAAAGGGUCAAAAGGUGGGAAGCUGGCUUUGACUGAUCAUGAAGUGUAUCACCUUGUACACUAUAUUGCCGAACAAGCCCAUGGACGUGAAUAUACUGUUGCCAGUUGCAGAGAGGCCAUCGGCAGCUACCUAAAAAAUGCCCCAGCCGGGAAAGGUGGCAAGAAACAUACCCAGAGCAACGUGGGAUCUCGAGUGCGUCCUACAAGAAUUGGGCGUGAGUCCAGUUCAGAUUCAAUUUUGGAAUCUCAUUCCUCUCCCUCGCGUGACAGCCUCCAAACAGUACAAUUCUAAUGAGCUUGUAUAUACUGAGAAUUCCUUUGGGUUUGAUGUCUGAUUUAAUAAAUUGUUUUCUUUGAUUAGCAAUACAUGGUAUAUCUGGCUGUUUUGUGUUACAAUAUUAAAUGUCAUUUUUCAGCUUUACUUUGUCUGCAUUUACUAAAAUUCAUGCAUAUUUAUUAAAAAUAUUCAGUUUGUUAAACUACAUCAUUGUUGUCUGUCAUUCAUAAGAUUCGUCAUGGGAAUUCCAUGGGCCAGAAUAUAACAUCCACAUUAUUGAAGCAGUUUAAUUACUAAUUUUUUAAAGCAUGCGGUAUGUCAUAUGCUUUAAUUGUAUCUUGCCUCAUAAUGUUGGAAAAUGAGGACGUCCUCUAUAAUUUCUUGAUAAGUACACAAGUACUUGUGUACUUUUCAAGAAAUUAUAGGUACAAAAAGGAUUACACAUAUCUGAUUAGAAAAAAUUGCAUUGUAUGGUGUGUAACUGUAUAAAUAUUUGUGUAGUGUAUUUACACCACAUUAUGAAGUGUAUACAGCCAAUUACAAAAUACUAUAUGCAUGUGUAUCAUUGAGCAUAUAUUGGUAUAUGAAUUAUUAAAAUCUGAUUAAUAUCUUGCAA